rnacentral:misc_RNA from 1 species
CUGAUGUCCUGCGGAUACCAUAUGCAGAAAGGGGAAGAGAAGGGCUUGUCGAGGCGGGCGGGACGACUUUACUUCUUGCUCUUGGCCAUGUGGUUGAGGGCAGAGCCGGCACGGUGCCAGGUGAUCUGUCCGGCAUUGAAGGUAUGCUGGAGAGGGGCGUCCUCCGACUUGCCG